rnacentral:tRNA from 1 species
GUGGGUACAGUUCAGUGGUUGAGUGCAUGCUUAGGAUACAUGAGGUCUGGGUUCAAUCCCCAGUACCUCCA